AAGAGAAGAAGAGAGAACCCUACUAGCCGCCGCCAAGCUCUCCCUCUACUCUACCACCGGUCCGCCUACAACCACACAACAUCAGAAAUCUUUCUUACUUUUAUUCAGACUCCAAUUUCUUCUACAACCAUAUAAAGAGUACUAGGUUGCUCCUUGGUCACAAAUGAAAAUUCAAGGCCAAGUUCAAAGCAACGCCUCUUUCAAUCAUUUCUGCGAUUUCCUCUCCGGUAAAGCGUGUGUUUCUCGUUUGAAGGUCUGAUUAACUCGAGAAUUCUGUUCGGGUGUCCAUUCGCGGUUUGCAGCUUCCGCUCGAGGUUCGGGUUCCGUUUCUCGCUUGCCAAUUUAAUUUUUCAAUCAAAGUUCAGUUCUUCUAACUCUCUUUAUUUCAAAUGAAUUAAAGUUUGAUUGGUUAUGUGAUUCAUGUUCCUCUGUGUUGGUCUAUGUCUAAAAUGAAUAUAAUAUUUAAUUUCUUGCAUCUAUUAGGCUUGAAUUUUAUGAGAUUUUCCUAUGGUAUUAGGAGUAUAGAUUAGUUUAUGGGCCAAUAUUAUGCUUGGAUUCAUAGUUCCUUAAAUACUUUCCUAAUUCUGUAAUUCCUUUUAUUCUCGAGAUUUUUCUUUGUUGGAAAAGUUUGGAUGCAAAAGUUUGUUCAAUAAAUGGCCAAAAUAGCAUGUGAACAUUUGUAUACCAAGAUUCUUAAGCAAAAAUGAAAGAAGUUAAAAGGGAUAACAUCUUGAUGCUUGAAUUGUAUCGUGGGGGUCUGUUACUGAACAUAGAAAAGAGAAUUGAUAUUAACGAGACACUUUAUUAUUUUAUUGUUUCUAUUUGAUCACUAGGAGCAUGUUUAGGCCGAUCACACUCGUGUAGGCAAACUUUAGGUCUCGUCUUUUGUUUCAUUCGAGGUGAGAGGUCGUUCCCUUUAGUUUAUAUUCAGGGAAAUGCCCCGUAGAGUUUGUAUAUAUUAUUGUUAUCCGGGGUAUGCCCCGAAGUGAAUGUAACGGAGGCCGCAACUACACUGUGGAUGAAAUAUAGUGUAGGUUAGCUUAGGAUUUUACUUUUCAUUAUUUUUAUUUUUAUUUUUAUUUUAUUAGGUAGGGACGACCUCGAUCCUCUUCCAUGUUUGUUUUUGUUUGUGUGUUUUCACCUCAAUUUGAGUAUUCUUAAAAGCCGACUUGAUCAUGUACACAACCGUACUAGUUACGGGACUCGGGGAAUGCCUAACACCUUCUCCCCGAGUCAAAUGAACCCUCUUACCCGAAUCUCUGGUGCAGACUUAGUUUUGGAGUCCAAAGUGCUUUAAGAGGAAAAAUUAUUUUUUUAAAAAAUGGUGAACUAGCACACCGAAACCAAUGUCAGGUGGCGACUCUGAAAAGUCCUUUUGAACACAAAUUUUUGUCAUUUUCUAACCGAAAACCCUUUUUAGCUUUACAAAUCUUUUUAUUUAUUUUAAGAGGGUUAGUGAGGUAAAAAGGGGUGUGACAUCUCUCGCGACUCUGCUGGGGAGUUCCAGGUUCGAGCUAGUACUUGAUCUUGUUGGCUUUUUAGGAUGUUCGAUUGCGGUUUUUAUGUGUUUUGUUUGAUUUAUUUGAUUUUUAUUUUUGCUUAUGUCGUUUUAUUAUUUGCUAGUUGCUUAUAUGUUUACAAUUUUUUCUUUAUGUGUUACUACUUUAUAAAUUGUCAUCAUUUGCAUAACCCAUGGUCUUCUUUCUGCAACAAGUCUUCUGGAGUACGUUUGAGCGUACACGGCCUUUUUGUGAGUCACCCGUGUCUUUAGGGGGGUGGCGUGGGAGCGUGGAGUGGGCAGACAGCUAGAGCAGCCGCCAUCGACCACGUGCCGCCCCGAAUUGCCUUGUCUAGUGAACCCCAAAUUUAGGUCAGCAUGUAGGUCAUUCUUAUUUGCAUCAUGUCAUUUAGACCUACUAGGGCUCGGUCCCAGACACCGUGUCCCUUUUUGGGAUGCCUAUCCAAAUUUUGUCAAAAUGGGCCUGUGGCCCAAAAAGACAUUCAAUCAUCCCUAUGUGAUACAUGUUACAUCUUUGAGGGUAAAAAGGUCAUUUGGCGGACCGAUGUUUGGGAAAGAAGGGUGAAAAUGAAGCAAGUAGGGCCCAAUUAUAUUUUUCUUUUACAACUUUUUCAAGAAAAUACAAAAAAUGAAAAAAAUCCAAUUUUUUUUACAUUUUCCCAUCAUUUUCCAAAAAUCAAAAAAGAAAGAAAAAGAAAAUCCAAAAAAAAAAAGAUUUUACACUUUCCUAUCAUUUUCCAAAAAUUCAAAAAAAUAGGAAAAAUAAAAUCCAAAACUAUUUUACAUUUCCAUCAUUUUUCAAAAAGACAAUUUUUUUUUAAAUUAAUGUCAUAUUUAAAGCUUUCUCCCAUAUCCAAUCUUCCCGAACUACGCGAACCUAAUUCUGGUCUUUCAGGACGUGAUACGUAGGCAACCCACAUAGGGUCCGAUCUUCCUAGUGAGUCUUAGGUUCUUGGCUUUGCGACGUCUUAGCCAAAUUUUGCAUGUGUUAGCCACUUCUAGCCACAUCGACCAUUCUUGCAAAAUGGGGUCAUUUUCGCAAAAGUGGUUCAAUUACCCAUGUCUUAGCAUUUUGAGUCCACAACUAGGUGUCAUAUUACUUUAUGGUCCCUCCUUUUUGAGUUUGCAUCUUUAUCCACUUCUUGUCAUAUCGGUCGUUUUUGCAAAAUUGGUCACUUCUACAAAUUAAUUUUGGGCCAUGAUUAUUGGGAGUUCGAAUCCAUAUAAGCCCUAGUGAGGUAUGUCCAUGUCUUUGAGGUCAUCUUUGUUGAGUUUGCGCUAAUAGCCACAUUUUGGCCAAGUAGGUCAUUUUGCAAAAAUAGCCUUAAUCAUGCCUUGCAUGUGUCCAAUAGAAGGUGUCGUGGCAUCACAUGUGUCUUGAGUCACUAACUCUAUUUAAUCUUAUUUUUCUCAUUCAGGUAUGGAUCAAUUUGCUAGACUUUGAGCAUGACAAAUACCCCAGGACCAUCCUAGUCAAGACCAUUGCAUGCAUGAGCUGCUUGAGGAAACUUUUUAUAUUUUAGUCUAUAUUAUGUUGUUUUUUAAUUUUUAUUCUUGUACAGUAGUAUCGAGUCUGUUAGUCUAGUUAAGAUUGUCGAGUCUUUUGUUAUAGUACUUCCUGUUUUGUAUUUGAAA
rnacentral:lncRNA from 1 species